GAUGCUUCACUAUUAAAAUAUUUCCCCCCCAAGUCUCAAAUAUUGAAGAAUCUCUAACCAGGCUCGAAACGCCGGUCUCAGUGGCUAUUGAGUUACCCACCAAGUUACCCCGGUUAGAGCUGUUUGGGGUGGCUCACGUUAUUGCGGCAAACUUUGGAGAUGACGGCUGAGUCCUCCGGGCGAACAUGUCAAGCCGAUUGUAAAUGCUGUUAUUUCCACAUCCUUCAGGGACACCAGUCCCUACGAAGACCUUGGGCGAUUUUGAAGUGCGGGCACCUCGAUUCCCCGAAUCUGUAGUGUGGCUGGUAUCGGUGUUCCCCUGGUUUAACUAGCCUGUUUGGCACAACAAAUGAGACCCAAGUGCUCAUAGAACAUUCCAAAGAGUCAACAGAGAGAAGUGGAAAGUAUUAGAAACAUGAUUGUGUUUGCAAAGGGAGACAUAAACAUGGGGAAAUUGAGGCAGAGAAGCCAAGACAUGCGCUAAAGGUCCAUGCAGGCUAUGAAUGGAGCUGGAAUGUAAACGCAGGCCAUGUGACUCCAGAGCCCAUGUUCUUGAACCCUUAGAAAGACAGCAGCAACACACCUGGUGCAGCAGCUGCUUAGUUGGAGUGGCUGACAAGGUUGGCAGAGGAUCCCGUUCCUCCCGUGGAGUGGCUGCCAUGAUACUGCCUGCACUGAAGCUGCUCCUAUUUCUGAAAUAUGUAUUGUUAUUUUUUUCCCUCCAUGUUGAACAUUAUACUCUUCUGUUCUUUCGCAUUCUCUUCUUCCCUUCCAGAUGACUUCUAGGGUUUUUGUGAUUCUGUAAUUCUAAAGGAGAAAGGAUAAUAAGAAUUGUGAG
rnacentral:antisense_RNA from 1 species